GCCUACAUGAAGCCGGAAUUGCUAGUAAUGGCAGGUCAGCAUACUGCCGUGAAUACGUUCCCGGGCCUUGUACACACCGCCCGUCACACCAUGAGAGUUGGGGAUACCCGAAGCCUGUGAGCUAACAAUUUUAUUGAGGCAGCAGUCGAAGGUAGAAUCAAUGAUUGGGGUGAAGUCGUAACAAGGUAUC
rnacentral:rRNA from 1 species